AAUCAACGCUGGCGGCGUGCCUAACACAUGCAAGUCGAGCGAGAACGGGGGCUUCGGCUCCCUAGUAAAGCGGCGCACGGGUGAGUAACGCGUGGGUAAUCAACCUUCGAGUGGGGAAUAACAGCGGGAAACUGCUGCUAAUACCGCAUGACAUUCACGGACCGCGGUCCUGUGGAUCAAAGCUGGGGAACUUCGGUCCUGGCGCUUGAAGACGAGCCCGCGUCCGAUUAGCUAGUUGGUGGGGUAAUGGCCUACCAAGGCGACGAUCGGUAGCCGGCCUGAGAGGGCGGACGGCCACACUGGGACUGAGACACGGCCCAGACUCCUACGGGAGGCAGCAGUGGGGAAUUUUUCGCAAUGGGGGAAACCCUGACGAAGCAACGCCGCGUGGAGGAUGAAGGCCUUCGGGUCGUAAACUCCUGUCAACCGGGACGAAAGCAGUCGGUCUAAUACACCGUUCUGUUGACUGUACCGGUGGAGGAAGCUCCGGCUAACUCUGUGCCAGCAGCCGCGGUAAUACAGAGGGAGCAAGCGUUGUUCGGAAUUACUGGGCGUAAAGGGCGCGUAGGCGGUUUGGCAAGUCCCGUGUGAAAUCCCUCGGCUCAACUGAGGAAUGGCACGGGAAACUGCC
rnacentral:rRNA from 1 species